UGUGAUUUAUGGGAGUUCAGGUGGGAGAGGGCAGUGUGAUUUAUGGGAGUUCAGGUGGGAGAGGGCAGUGUGAUUUAUGGGAGUUCAGGUGGGAGAGGGCAGUGUGAUUUAUGGGAGUUCAGGUGGGAGAGGGCAGUGUGAUUUAUGGGAGUUCAGGUGGGAGAGGGCAGUGUGAUUUAUGGGAGUUCAGGUGGGAGAGGGCAGUGUGAUUUAUGGGAGUUCAGGUGGGAGAGGGCAGUGUGAUUUAUGGGAGUCCAGGUAGGAGAGGGCAGUGUGAUUUAUGGGAGUCCAGGUGGGAGAGGGCAGUGUGAUUUAUGGAGUUCAGGGUGGAGAGGGGCAGUGUGAUUUAUGGGAGUUCAGGUGGGAGAGGGCAGUGGUGAUUUAUGGGAGUUCAGGUGGGAGAGGGCAGUGUGAUUUAUGGGAGUUCAGGUGGGAGGGCAGUGUGAUUUAUGGGAGUCCAGGUGGGAGAGGGCAGUGUGAUUUAUGGGAGUCCAGGUGGGAGAGGGCAGUGUGAUCCAGGGUUCAGGUGGGAGAGGGCAGUGUGAUCCAGGGUUCAGUGGAGAGGGCAGUGUGAUCCAGGGUUCAGGUGGGAGAGGGCAGUGUGAUCCAGGGUUCAGGUGGGAGAGGGCAGUGUGAUCCAGGGUCAGGUGGGAGAGGGCAGUGUGAUCCAGGGUUCAGGUGGGAGAGGGCAGUGUGAUCCAGGGUCCAGGUGGGAGAGGGCAGUGUGAUCCAGGGUCCAGGUGGGAGAGGGCAGUGUGAUCCAGGGUCCAGGUGGGAGAGGGCAGUGUGAUCCAGGGUCCAGGUGGGAGAGGGCAGUGUGAUCCAGGGUCCAGGUGGGAGAGGGCAGUGUGAUCCAGGGUCCAGGUGGGAGAGGGCAGUGUGAUCCAGGGUCCAGGUGGGAGAGGGCAGUGUGAUUUAUGGGAGUUCAGGUGGGAGAGGGCAGUGUGAUUUAUGGGAGUUCAGGUGGGAGAGGGCAGUGUGAUCCAGGGUCCAGGUGGGAGAGGGCAGUGUGAUUUAUGGGAGUUCAGGUGGGAGAGGGCAGUGUGAUCCAGGGUUCAGGUGGGAGAGGGCAGUGUGAUCCAGGGUUCAGGUGGGAGAGGGCAGUGUGAUCCAGGGUUCAGGUGGGAGAGGGCAGUGUGAUCCAGGUGGGAGAGGGCAGUGUGAUUUAUGGGAGUUCAGGUGGGAGAGGGCAGUGUGAUUUAUGGGAGUUCAGGUGGGAGAGGGCAGUGUGAUCCAGGGUCCAGGUGGGAGAGGGCAGUGUGUGAUUUAUGGAG
rnacentral:lncRNA from 1 species